AAGUCGUAACAAGGUUUCCGUAGGUGAACCUGCGGAAGGAUCAUUAUCGAAUUAUAAGCGAGGGUUGUCGCUGGCCUCUCGGGGCAUGUGCACGCCCGAGCCGUUAAUCCAAACCUUACACCUGUGAACUUACCGCGUAGGGCCCUCCUUUGCCGGAGGCGUCCUAUGUCCUUCAUAAACACCGCAUGUCAAUAGAAUGUAAUCAAAUAUCUUCGCCCUAAAAAAGCGUCGGUAAAACUUAUACAACUUUCAACAACGGAUCUCUUGGCUCUC
rnacentral:misc_RNA from 1 species